UGUGCUUGCAUGCGGCCUCCCAUAAGCAGA
rnacentral:piRNA from 1 species